GAUGAACGCUGGCGGCGUGCCUAAUACAUGCAAGUCGAGCGAACAGACGAGGAGCUUGCUCCUCUGACGUUAGCGGCGGACGGGUGAGUAACACGUGGAUAACCUACCUAUAAGACUGGGAUAACUUCGGGAAACCGGAGCUAAUACCGGAUAAUAUAUUGAACCGCAUGGUUCAAUAGUGAAAGACGGUUUUGCUGUCACUUAUAGAUGGAUCCGCGCCGCAUUAGCUAGUUGGUAAGGUAACGGCUUACCAAGGCAACGAUGCGUAGCCGACCUGAGAGGGUGAGCGGCCACACGGGAACUGAGACACGGCCCAGACCCCGAGGGGAGGCAGAAGGAGGGAUUCUUCCGAAAGGGGGGAAGCUUGGCGGGAGAACCGCGGCGGGAGUAAUGAGGUUUUUGGAUUCUAAAACCUUUUUUAUGGGGAAAAAAAAAUUGUGUAAGUAACAGGGCCCGUCUGGACGGUCCCUAACCAGAAAGCCACGGCAAACUAGGUC
rnacentral:rRNA from 1 species